rnacentral:lncRNA from 13 species
AUGGGGAGGGGCCGGGGCCGCCCGUCCCGCCGCUCUGAGGGGCGGAGAGCGCCCAUCCCUGCAGUUCUUCCAGUCCCAAGGCCCAGAGAGCGCCCGUCCCUCCUGUCCCGCUGCUCUGAGGGGCGGAGAGCGCCCAUCCCUCCUGUUCCCCCAGUCCCGAGGCCCGGAGAGCGCCCCCGCCGCCCGCCGCGAUCGCUCCCGAUGGGGAGGGGCCGGGGCCGCCCGUCCCGCCGCUCUGAGGGGCGGAGAGCGCCCAUCCCUGCAGUUCUUCCAGUCCCAAGGCCCAGAGAGCGCCCGUCCCUCCUGUCCCGCUGCUCUGAGGGGCGGAGAGCGCCCAUCCCUCCUGUUCCCCCAGUCCCGAGGCCCGGAGAGCGCCCGUCCCGCCCGUCCCGCCCGUCCCGCCGUGCGGGUGAGGAGCUGCUGAGGGAGAGAGGUCGGCGCGUAGUGAGGCGCAGCGACGGGGCUGAACCAAGGCUUACAAAUGUCUCCCCGAUACCAAGUUGUGGGGCUACAAAUAGUAAAGAACUGAUGUGUACACUUCUGGAGGGAUAUGGGGAAUAAUUUGUUCAGAUAAAUCACUGACCAACCUCAAAAUACACAUUCAGAAAGAAGACUGAAGGGAAAGAGGAAAAGAUCCAGAUUGAAAGUGUGCUGUAAGACAAAUAAUUUGCCUUUGGUCUUUCGAUCUAACAGCUUCCCUGAGGAUCCGAGUCUGCGAGGUGCACAGCAGAUGAUUUUUUGUAAGAGCAAGUUAAAUGGGAAAGAGCUUAUACUGGUUGAUCCCAAAGUGGGUGUUUCAAAAUGAUGCAGAGAUAAACCCUGUAACCAAAAGUGUUUAACUGAUCCAGUCAGUCUGGGUAGCCCCAAAGGGGGGAGCAACAUCACACACAAACCAGGCUGCAGUUCUGAGGGAGCAGCAACUUCUGGUGAAAAAUUAGCUGGGGACUAUAAUCAGCAACAGGAGAAAAUUUGAAGGGAGUAACCCUCUUGAGCUGUCCCAGUUGAAAUCAUGGCUGCAUGUGUGAGGCCUAACAAGUAAAGGAGAAGUGGUGACAUAAAACAACACAGUAAGGAAUUCCCUACUGGAGGACUUCUCAUUUCUAGCAAGCAUGAAGUUGUCCCCAGACAAGUGCUGAAUUCAAGAAAAUCAAGACUUUACAAGAGUGCUGAGGAAACAGAAGCUGGCAUUAAUGAAAUAUUUACUUGGUGUAUAAUUCUUUCACCCCUGUGCAAGGUGAGUGCAAUGUAAAAAAUAAGAUAGCAUAAGUGAAAGAGACCUAGGACAGUUGAGAGAAACCAGGAUCUGCUUAAGAAUACACUGAACUGUAUUUCCUGUGUUUUCUGCAGAAAAUUAUGUGAUGUAGUGUUUCAAGCGCUAUAUUCUUAAUUGCUUAUUUUUAUUACUUGUACUUGCAAUACUAGAAUUGUACAGUGGAGUCAAGGCAUUUGUGAAC